CUCUUGGCAUGUGCUCGGUAUUAUCAAAAGAAAGAAAACAAGAAAACUGAAUGCUACUUAGAGCUAAAGUAUAUGCCAACUCUAAGCCAGGCAUUCCACUUAACAUUCUACCAAAGCCCUAGAACGUCAAGCUUCAAGGUUCUUUACUCAAGACCAGCAAGUGCUUUUGGACGAGUGUCUGUAGCUUUCAAUUCUUGGCGGCAGCGUUUAAGUGUGCAGAAGCCAGAAAGCCAUGUUAACGAAACCUACAGUGUGUGCCAAAGCCCCCAAGCAAAACACGUCCCACGUGGCUUUGGGCAGGGCCAGUGGAGCAGGGCAGGAGGAGAAAUGAGUGCCUGGUACAUGGUAGCCUCUCUUCGCCCUCACAGCUCCUAGUAAGAAUCUCUUUGUGAACUGCUGCUCCCUUCCAACAGCUGGUAAUUCACCAUUACGGUGGGGCAUCAAGUCUCAUCGAACUAUUGGCUCGGACUUUAAACAUGACUAAAUUAAGUAUGACAAAGCCAAACAAGUAGGAACUCAAAAAACCACUUUCUUUACUUAUGAAAGACUAAUAUUAAAAAAUUAGUUGGUAGUUAGGCCAGCUUACUACUAUCUGACAGUAAAAAGUUAGUAAAAACCUAGAAUGGACUUUAGAACACCAGUUUGCCUAGUCCUCGUCUCUACCCGCUACGGCUCACAAGUGACACAACACUGCCUAUAGGGGCAGCAUUCC
rnacentral:lncRNA from 1 species